AGAAUCCCCGCGCAGCUGUGCAGCUGUACAUUGCAUGCUGACACUGAAUGAGCAGUGACUGGACGCUGCCUUCCAUGUGGGACACGAGCCUUCAAUGCCUGAUAAAGCCUGAAAGCCACAAUCUGCCCUGGAAACCCAGCUCCACCCUGCUUCCACUACAUCAGGAGGUGAAGGAGGAAAUUGAAAGUGUGAAACACCAGUGGGAGGAAAAGGUUCCUGUAACAAAUGUGGUUAUCAAUGGGAAAGAAGCUUUCUAGAGCUUAUAUACGGGGCCGAGUCAUGCACACUUCAUCAUACUCACCAGGGGACGACCCAGACCAUCAUUCUUCUCUGGUCUGCCACCUUCAUCCUCCACUUGCAGCCUCCUUUGCAGUGACCAUACAGGUGCAGAGCAUGAGCAGGAUGCACAGGGGUUUAUGUGGUCAGGCCUGCCUGGAGUUGGCACAUAGCAUUUCUGCUUCCAUUCUUAGGUCUGAAAUCCAGGUCACAGAGCCCUAACAUAACUACAAAGGAUCCUGAAAAGUGUUGUAUUCCAGUGUGCCUCGGAAAAGAAAAUAGGAUUAAUAAACUUUGAUUAGACUAAAUCAUUGA
rnacentral:lncRNA from 10 species